rnacentral:rRNA from 1 species
CCUACGGGCGGCAGCAGUGGGGAAUAUUGGACAAUGGGGGGAACCCUGAUCCAGCCAUGCCGCGUGUGUGAAGAAGGCCCUCGGGUUGUAAAGCACUUUCAGUGAGGAAGAACGCCUGGUGGUUAAUACCCAUCAGGAAAGACAUCACUCACAGAAGAAGCACCGGCUAACUCCGUGCCAGCAGCCGCGGUAAUACGGAGGGUGCGAGCGUUAAUCGGAAUUACUGGGCGUAAAGCGCGCGUAGGUGGCUUGAUAAGCCGGUUGUGAAAGCCCCGGGCUCAACCUGGGAACGGCAUCCGGAACUGUCAAGCUAGAGUGCAGGAGAGGAAGGUAGAAUUCCCGGUGUAGCGGUGAAAUGCGUAGAGAUAGGGAGGAAUACCAGUGGCGAAGGCGGCCUUCUGGACUGACACUGACACUGAGGUGCGAAAGCGUGGGUAGCAAACAGGAUUAGAUACCCUUGUAGUC